rnacentral:lncRNA from 1 species
UUCAGCUGCACUAUUACCACACAGUCUUAAAAACAGAGCAAAAGGUGAGACUUUGCUUGGGCAGCUGGUAAAACCGCCACCUACCAUGCACUGGAGUUGUACAGAACAUUUUGAUUUCAGUAAAAGAUGAAGGUCAUUUUUGACUACUUAGUUUUCAUUGUCUUGACACAGGCAAAUCCGGCUCAAGGUUACAGUCUAUUGGCAAUACAGAGCACUUCAGCAAUAAGAGCAGCAAUCGGUGCUUCUGUCCCUAUUCACUGUAUUCAUAGCCUCCAUGGAUGCGAGGAAGGGCUGAAUUGUGUCUUCUACUAGUGGAAAGAAUAUCCGUUAUUCUCCAGAGUCAACACCGUGAAAGGAGGGAGUGCUCUCUUCACAGUGCCUCAAUAUCAGGGUAGACUGCAAACAGAAAACAAAGAACACAUGGUUUCGCUUUUCAUACAAACAUGACCGUCACUGACUCUGGACUCUACGUCUGUGAAGUUGUGAGGACACGGCCCCCACCUAUGAAAGCCUUGAAGGGGAAUGGGACAAACAUUACAGUGACAGUUCCCCUAGAUGAGGAAGACCAGGAUUUCCCAGGUAUUUUUUCAUGUUAUCUCACAGUAGCUUCUGCAGUUUCCUUUUCUUUAGCCUCCUCCCAAUCUAUAAUCUAUAAUCUUUGCAAACCCAAGAUCAUUUGACUAAAAG